ensembl:lncRNA
CCUUUUCAACUGAAAUGGAGAUCAAAUUUCAAAGAUGUGUAAACUACUCUGCUUCAUAGACUUGACCUCAGUCUACAGGAGGACUUAUUUACAGGCCCAAACGUGAAAUUUUCCCCCAAAAUUCCUGUCACAUGGAAUUAUUAAUUUCUCUGUGUGACAUUGUAUACGAUAUUUUCAUUAAAGCCACAAAGUUUGUUUACCCCAGUUUUUAUUAAUGAUCUGUUAAAACUUAUUGAUACUCAAAUUAAAUUCCUAUAGCCUUCGUUAGUUAAUCAUAGAAUGUAUGUUCCAAGAAGCCUGCAACUCCAGUGUCGGGCACAUAAAAAGCAUUCAGUACCUACAUAUAUUAAGUAAACGAAUUGCUGUUAACACCCACUAGGAGCCAGGGUAUGGCAGCAGUAGAGCCCAGUGAUGUUUUGAAAACUAUCAAGUGCAAAUCAAGCUCAACAUCAUAGCAUAUAAUUUUAGAGAAAACAAUUUAGAACGUAUUUCUAUAAAUAGUACCUGGGUUUUGUGCUAAUUGAAGAAAAACAACUCUGGCAAUGAACUUUUGCAGUAAUGCUGAAAAGAAUCACAGGUUGAUAAAAUUUUAAAGUGAAAUGAAAAGGCCUGCAUAUUCACAUGCCAUGAACUAAAGGGAGCUGAACCAAAGCCUCCUUCCCUUCAGCAGCCAGGCUGGGCUUCCAGGACCAAUAGGCCGCUGUGAUGGUGACAGCCAGGAGCACAGAGAUGUACUGCAAGAAAAAUGAGUUCUAAUCCUCUAGUUUCCUUUUGCUUCCUCCAGCUACCUGAUCUGCAGAAAUACCUGCCUCGCUAAACUCCUAUUACUUUUUGGUUCUGCCACCUAACUGACUCCUAGCAAAUCUGUGUUGUUCUUUAUCUAUUUCCGCACAGCUCAUUUCUCUUCUGACAGUGAACCUCUUAUGGAUGCAGUUUGAACUCCAUCUCCUUCACUUAGUAUCAGGGUGAUCUGAAAUUAUCUAACUUCUCUAAACCUCAGUCUUAUAAAAACAGGGCUGGAAGAGAAUCUGUUCUCCCAUUUCUUUGGGGGAACUCAAAGAAUGUGUGUGUGUGUGCAUGUGUAUGUGUGUGUGAAGGCAUGUUAGCACAUUACACAGGCCAAGGCACUUUGUCUGUGUCCCCUUUGUGUAUAUUCCAGAAACUACUCACUGUGUCUCUUGGACAUUAUUACAGCUACUAGUUAUUGACUGCUUCUAUGAGCAAGGCCCUUUACAUAUAAUAUACUAUUACUAUUCCUCUUGGUAACUUUGCCAGUGAAUAUUAUUGUCCCUGUUUUGCUGAAGUUCAGUUAUAUUUCUUGAAAAGUUCAUAUAGUACCAUGGUUUGGGUGUUAUCUCCUAAAAAGUUCAUGUGUUGGAAGUUUGUUCCCCAGGAUCGCAGUGUCAGUAGGUGGCAUGGACCUUUUAGCAGCUGGGGUUUAGUGGAAGGUUCUUAGGUCUAUUGAAGAUGUGUCCUCAGAGGGGAUUAAAGAUCCUGGUUAGUUCUUGGGAGAGGGGGUUAUUAUAAAAACUUUAGCUGGGCAUAGUGGUGCACACCCAUAAUUGCAGCUACUUGGGACCUACGGUUAAGGGUGCAAAUUUAAAUUCAUCCUGGGCAGCUUAGUGAGACUAUCUCAGAAAAAGAAAACAAAUUUAAGGGUUGGGGAUGUAGCUCAGUGGAAGAGUGCUCUUGAGUUCUAUCCUAGCACCAAAUAAUAAUAAUAAUAAUAACAAAUAAAAUAAAAAAUUUAGCUUGGCCUCAUCCUGCCUGUCUGGCUUCCUGCUUGGCGAUGUGAUUCUUACUCCUACACAUGCUUGACACCAAAGGUCCUCGCCAGAGCCAAGUUGAUGCCACCAUGCUCUUGAAUCUUCAGAACUAAAAAAACCUAUUUUCUCCAAAAGUAAUUUGUCUCAGGUGUUUUGUUAUAGUAAUGACAAAUGGACUAAUACACAGUAAAUAAAAGUGGUGCGGGCAUGAUUCAAACCCAAGUUUCUCUCUACUUACAGCUUGUGCUCUUUCUAACACAACACCCUACCUGCACGUGCUAGGCACUCAAUCAAUCUUUGACCAAAAUUAUGAGGUAUUAUUCAUUCAAAUUAUGGUCUACAGUGAUCCUUGGGAACACAGGAAUUCAAACAUCUUUGCAAUGAAUCAAAAUUAAUAAAGCCUC